UACAGAGGUCUCAAGCGUUGUUCGGAUUCAUUGGGCGUAAAGGGUGCGUAGGUGGCGCGGUAAGUCGGGUGUGAAAUCUCGGAGCUUAACUCCGAAAUUGCAUUCGAUACUGCCGUGCUUGAGGACUGGAGAGGAGACUGGAAUUUACGGUAUAGCAGUGAAAUGCGUAGAGAUCGUAAGGAAGACCAGUGGCGAAGGCGGGUCUCUGGACAGUUCCUGACACUGAGGCACGAAGGCCAGGGGAGCAAACGGG
rnacentral:rRNA from 1 species